rnacentral:rRNA from 1 species
AGAUUGAACGCUGGCGGCAUGCUUUACACAUGCAAGUCGAGCGGCAGCGCGGGGGCAACCCUGGCGGCGAGCGGCGAACGGGUGAGUAAUGCAUCGGAACGUGUCCCGUGGUGGGGGAUAACCCGGCGAAAGCCGGGCUAAUACCGCAUAUGCUCUGAGGAGGAAAGGGGGGAUCCGCAAGGACCUCACGCCAUGGGAGCGGCCGAUGUCCGAUUAGCUUGUUGGUGGGUAAUGGCUUACCAAGGCGACGAUCGGUAGCUGGUCUGAGAGGAUGAUCAGCCACACUGGGACUGAGACACGGCCAGACUCUACGGAGCAGCAGUGGGAAUUUUGGACAAGUGGGGACAACCCGUGAUCCAGCCAUGCCGCGUGCGGAAGAAGGCCUUGGUUGUAACCGCUUUAGACCGGAAGAAAGGACGUAGGGACCAAGUACCCUGGUU